rnacentral:misc_RNA from 1 species
CUCCCCCCAAACACUUGGACGUAUGUCUUGCUCUGUUAUACUUUCGCAUACCUUUGCCCAUCCCUUAUGAAACUUGAGAAAAAACUGAGAUUCCUCAAAUUCCAUAAAUUUAGAUUUAAGUAUUUCUUUUGCAGUAUGCGCCAUGGCAUCCGUUGUUGAAAUCCCUACAUGAAAGCAGAGCUCACCUUCUGCUUGUCUCUCAGUACCAA